rnacentral:rRNA from 1 species
UACGUAGGGUGCAAGCGUUAAUCGGAAUUACUGGGCGUAAAGCGUGCGCAGGCGGUUGUGUAAGUCUGUCGUGAAAUCCCCGGGCUCAACCUGGGAAUUGCGAUGGAGACUGCACGGCUAGAGUGUGUCAGAGGGGGGUAGAAUUCCACGUGUAGCAGUGAAAUGCGUAGAUAUGUGGAGGAACACCGAUGGCGAAGGCAAUCCCCUGGGCCUGCACUGACGCUCAUGCACGAAAGCGUGGGGAGCAAACAGG